rnacentral:lncRNA from 1 species
GCCUCUUCUUGAUGGCUCGAUGGAUGGAUUCAGUCAAGAUCCGCAUGCCUACAAGUUGGAAAGAAAGAAAGUUAGUCCACAAGUGAAAAAAAAAUCGACAAAAAAAGCUCCAAGAAUUCAUAAAAGAAAAUCCACCCAGAUGACUAAUCGAGCUUAUCCCGAUGUUGUACAAUGACUACUCCCGAUCUUCUUCUAGGACUACUUCAUUUUUAUUUGGGGAAAGGUUGGGUGUAGUCAAGACCUAGCUGAAGCCUCAGGGGUGGUCAGCAACCAUGAAAAGAAUUUAUUCUUCCAUCCGUGGAUGGAAGAGGGAAGCCCGGUAAUGAUCUAACAACGGCACC